rnacentral:rRNA from 1 species
GGAAUAUUGGGCAAUGGAGGAAACUCUGACCCAGCGACGCCGCGUGCGGGAUGAAGGCCUUCGGGUUGUAAACCGCUUUCAGUAGGGAAGAAGCGAAAGUGACGGUACCUACAAAAGAAGCACCGGCUAACUAUGUGCCAGCAGCCGCGGUAAUACAUAGGGUGCAAGCAUUGUCCGGAAUUAUUGGGCGUAAAGAGCUCGUAGGUCGUUUGUUACGUCGGAUGUGAAAACCUGAGGCUCAACCUCAGGCCUGCAUUCGAUACGGGCAAACUAGAGUUUGGUAGGGGAGACUGGAAUUCCUGGUGUAGCGGUGGAAUGCGCAGAUAUCAGGAGGAACACCAAUGGCGAAGGCAGGUCUCUGGGCCAAUACUGACACUGAGGAGCGAAAGUCUGGGGAGCGAACAGGAUUAGAUACCCUGGUAGUCCAGACCGUAAACGGUGGGCACUAGUUGUGGGAACCUUCCACGGUUUCUGCGACGCAGCUAACGCAUUAAGUGCCCCGCCUGGGGAGUACGAUCGCAAGAUUAAAACUCAAAUGAAUUGACGG